UGAACGCUGGCGGCGUGCUUAAUACAUGCAAGUCGAACGAAGACAGUAGCAAUAUUGUCUGAGUGGCGAACGGGUGAGUAACGCGUUGGUGACCUGCCCCGAAGAGAGGGAUAACAGUCCGAAAGGAUUGCUAAUACCCCAUGUGGUCAUUUGGAUUAGAUGCCUUAUGACUAAACGGAUUUAUUCGCUUCGGGAGGGGCCUGCGUCCCAUCAGCUAGUUGGUAAGGUAAUGGCUUACCAAGGCGAUGACGGGUAGGGGACCUGAGAGGGUGGCCCCCCACAAUGGAACUGAAACACGGUCCAUACACCUACGGGUGGCAGCAGUAGGGAAUAUUGCACAAUGGGCGAAAGCCUGAUGCAGCAACGCCGCGUGUGCGAUGAAGGCCUUCGGGUCGUAAAGCACUUUUCUGAGGGAUGAGCAAGGACAGUACCUCAGGAAUAAGUCUCGGCUAACUACGUG
rnacentral:rRNA from 1 species